rnacentral:rRNA from 1 species
UACGGAGGGUGCAAGCGUUGUCCGGAUUUAUUGGGUUUAAAGGGUGCGUAGGUGGCCUUAUAAGUCAGCGGUGAAAGUCUGCAGCUUAACUGUAGAACUGCCAUUGAUACUGUAAGGCUUGAGUACUGAUGAGGUAGGCGGAAUUGACGGUGUAGCGGUGAAAUGCUUAGAUAUCGCCAAGAACACCGAUAGCGAAGGCAGCUUACUGGGCUGUAACUGACGCUGAGGCACGAAAGUGUGGGGAUCAAACAGG